CAGUCGAACGGGGUAGCAAUACCUAGUGGCAGACGGGUGAGUAACAUGUGGGUACCUUCCCUUUGGUGAGGAAUAACACGAGGAAACUUGUGCUAAUACCUCAUAAGUCUUUACAGAGAAAGCUUUAUGCGCCAAUGGAUGGGCCCGCACUUGAUUAGUUAGUUGGUAGGGUAAUGGCCUACCAAGACUUUGAUCAAUAGCUGAUUUGAGAGGAUGAUCAGCCACAUUGGGACUGAGACACGGCCCAAACUCCUACGGGAGGCAGCAGUAGGGAAUCUUGCACAAUGGAGGAAACUCUGAUGCAGCAAUGCCGCGUGAGUGAAGAAGGCCCUUGGGUCGUAAAGCUCUUUUAUGGGGGAAGAUGAUGACGGUACCCCAGGAAUAAGCACCGGCUAACUACGUGCCAGCAGCCGCGGUAAUACGUAGGGUGCGAGCGUUGUUCGGAAUUACUGGGCGUAAAGGGCGCGCAGGCGGAGGUGCAAGUCGGAGGUGAAAGCCCGGGGCUCAACCCCGGAGGGUCUUUCGAAACUGCAUCUCUAGAGAGGGUCAGGGGCCGGCAGAAUUCCUGGUGUAGAGGUGAAAUUCGUAGAUAUCAGGAGGAAUACCGGUGGCGAAAGCGGCCGGCUGGGGCCACUCUGACGCUGAGGCGCGAAAGCGUGGGGAGCAAACAGGAUUA
rnacentral:rRNA from 1 species